rnacentral:rRNA from 1 species
CAGUCGCCGCGGGAAUACGAAGGGGGCUAGCGUUGUUCGGAUUCACUGGGCGUAAAGCGCACGUAGGCGGACUUUUAAGUCAGGGGUGAAAUCCCGGGGCUCAACCCCGGAACUGCCUUUGAUACUGGAAGUCUUGAGUGUGGUAGAGGUGAGUGGAAUUCCGAGUGUAGAGGUGAAAUUCGUAGAUAUUCGGAGGAACACCAGUGGCGAAGGCGGCUCACUGGACCAUUACUGACGCUGAGGUGCGAAAGCGUGGGGAGCAAACAGGAUUAGAUACCCCUGUAGUCCCUGUCUCUUAUAC